GACGAACGCUGGCGGCGUGCCUAAUACAUACAAGUAGAACGCUGAAGGAGGAGCUUGCUUCUCUGGAUGAGUUGCGAACGGGUGAGUAACGCGUAGGUAACCUGCCUGGUAGCGGGGGAUAACUAUUGGAAACGAUAGCUAAUACCGCAUAAUAGUAGAUGUUGCAUGACAUUUGCUUAAAAGGUGCAAUUGCAUCACUACCAGAUGGACCUGCGUUGUAUUAGCUAGUUGGUGAGGUAACGGCUCACCAAGGCGACGAUACAUAGCCGACCUGAGAGGGUGAUCGGCCACACUGGGACUGAGACACGGCCCAGACUCCUACGGGAGGCAGCAGUAGGGAAUCUUCGGCAAUGGACGGAAGUCUGACCGAGCAACGCCGCGUGAGUGAAGAAGGUUUUCGGAUCGUAAAGCUCUGUUGUAAGAGAAGAACGAGUGUGAGAGUGGAAAGUUCACACUGUGACGGUAUCUUACCAGAAAGGGACGGCUAACUACGUG
rnacentral:rRNA from 1 species